GAACUGCGAUAAGUAAUGUGAAUUGCAGAAUUCAGUGAAUCAUCGAGUCUUUGAACGCACAUUGCGCCCCCUGGCAUUCCGGGGGGCAUGCCUGUCCGAGCGUCAUUGCUGCCCUUCAAGCCCGGCUUGUGUGUUGGGUCGUCGUCCCCUCCGGGGGACGGGCCCGAAAGGCAGCGGCGGCACCGCGUCCGGUCCUCGAGCGUAUGGGGCUUUGUCACCCGCUCGAUAAGGACCGGCCGGGCGCCAGCCGGCGUCUCCAACCUUUUUUUCUCAGGUUAACCUCGGAUCAGGUAGGGAUACCCGCUGAACUUAAGC
rnacentral:misc_RNA from 1 species